rnacentral:misc_RNA from 1 species
UUUCCGUAGGUGAACCUGCGGAAGGAUCAUCAAAAAUGAAGCCGGGAAACCGGUCCUUCUAACCCUUGAUUAUCUUAAUUUGUUGCUUUGGUGGGCCGCGCAAGCACCGGCUUCGGCUGGAUCGUGCCCGCCAGAGGACACAACUCUGUAUCAAAUGUCGUCUGAGUACUAUAAAAUAGUUAAAACUUUCAACAACGGAUCUCUUGGUUCUG